rnacentral:SRP_RNA from 1 species
GCCGGGUGUGGUAGGGCGCACCUGUAGUCCCAGCUACUCUGGAGGCUGAGGCAGGAGGAUCAGUUGAGCCUAGGAGUCUGAGAUUGUAGUGAGCUGUGAUUGCACCACUGUAUUCCAGACUGGGCAAUAGAGUGAGACCCUGUCUCAA